AAACCUGAGAGUUUGAUUCUGGCUCAGAACGAACGCUGGCGGCAGGCUUAACACAUGCAAGUCGAACGCUGUAGCAAUACAGAGUGGCGCACGGGUGAGUAAUACAUGGGAACGUGCCUUGGAGUCCGGGAUAACCGCGGGAAACUGUGGCUAAUACCGGAUAUUCCCCGCGGGGGAAAGAUUUAUCGCUCCAAGAUCGGCCCAUGCCAGAUUAUGGUAGUUGGUGGGGUAAAAGCCUACCAAGCCUACGAUCUGUAGCUGGUCUGAGAGGACGACCAGCCACACUGGAACUGAGACACGGUCCAGACUCCUACGGGAGGCAGCAGUGGGGAAUAUUGGACAAUGGGCGCAAGCCUGAUCCAGCCAUGCCGCGUGAGUGAUGAAGGCCUUAGGGUUGUAAAGCUCUUUUGUCAGGGAAGAUAAUGACGGUACCUGAAGAAUAAGCACCGGCUAACUUCGUGCCAGCAGCCGCGGUAAUACGAAGGGUGCUAGCGUUGUUCGGAAUUACUGGGCGUAAAGCGCGCGUAGGCGGCUUUUCAAGUCAGGGGUGAAAUCCCACGGCUCAACCGUGGAAUUGCCUUUGAAACUGUAAAGCUGGAGUGUCGGAGGGGAUAGCGGAAUUCCUAAUGUAGAGGUGAAAUUCGUAGAUAUUAGGAGGAACACCGGUGGCGAAGGCGGCUAUCUGGACGACAACUGACGCUGAGGCGCGAAAGCGUGGGGAUCAAACAGGAUUAGAUACCCUGGUAGUCCACGCUGUAAACGAUGGGUGCUAGCUGUUGGGGGGUUACCCCUCAGUAGCGUAGCUAACGCGUUAAGCACCCCGCCUGGGGAGUACGGUCGCAAGAUUAAAACUCAAAGAAAUUGACGGGGACCCGCACAAGCGGUGGAACAUGUGGUUUAAUUCGAGGCAACGCGAAGAACCUUACCAGGAUUCGACAUGCCCUCUAUGGAUUCCCGAAAAGGAAUCCUUCACUUCGGGUGGGAGGAGCACAGGUGCUGCAUGGCUGUCGUCAGCUCGUGUCGUGAGAUGUUGGGUUAAGUCCCGCAACGAGCGCAACCCUCGUCCUCUGUUGCUAACAGGUAAUGCUGAGAACUCUGAGGAAACUGCCGGUGAUAAGCCGGAGGAAGGUGGGGAUGACGUCAAGUCCUCAUGGCCCUUACAUCCUGGGCUACACACGUGUUACAAUGGCGGUGACAAUGGGCAGCUAACCCGCGAGGGCAUGCUAAUCCCAAAAAGCCGCCUCAGUUCGGAUUGCACUCUGCAACUCGAGUGCAUGAAGCUGGAAUCGCUAGUAAUCGCGGAUCAGCACGCCGCGGUGAAUACGUUCCCGGGUCUUGUACACACCGCCCGUCACACCAUGGAAGUCGGUUCUGCCUUAAGCCGCCCUUAAAAGCGUCCACGGCAGGGUCGAUGACUGGGGUGAAGUCGUAACAAGGUAGCCGUAGGGGAACCUGCGGCUGGAUUACCUCCUUU
rnacentral:rRNA from 1 species